UACAGAGACUGCGAGCGUUAUUCGGAUUCACUGGGCGUAAAGGGCUCGUAGGCGGCCAACUAAGUCGGAUGUGAAAUCCCCAGGCUUAACCUGGGAACUGCAUCCGAUACUGGAUGGCUUGAAUCCGGGAGAGGGAUGCAGAAUUCCAGGUGUAGCGGUGAAAUGCGUAGAUAUCUGGAGGAAUACCGGUGGCGAAGGCGGCAUCCUGGACCGGCAUUGACGCUGAUGAGCGAAAGCCAGGGGAGCAAAGCGGG
rnacentral:rRNA from 1 species